rnacentral:rRNA from 1 species
UUUCGCAAUGCCCGAAAGGGUGACGAAGCGACGCCGCGUGGGUGAGGAAGGCCCUCGGGUUGUAAAGCCCUGUCAGGAGUUAAGAAAUGUAAGUGCGCUAAUAUCGCAUUUAUUUGACGAAGGCUCCAAAGGAAGUCACGGCUAACUCUGUGCCAGCAGCCGCGGUAAUACAGAGGUGGCAAGCGUUGUUCGGAAUUACUGGGCGUAAAGAGCACGUAGGUGGGUUUGUAAGUCAGAUGUGAAAGCCUUCUGUUCAACGGAAGAAUUGCAUCUGAAACUACGAGUCUUGAGUGUAGGAGGGGAGAAUGGAACUUCUGGUGGAGCGGUGAAAUGCGUAGAUAUCAGAAGGAACGCCGGCGGCGAAAGCGAUUCUCUGGCCUAUUACUGACACUCAGUGUGCGAAAGCUAGGGGAGCAAACGGGAUUAGAUACCCCGGUAGUCCUAGCCGUAAACGAUGGGCACUAAGUAGAGGGGUUUU